UUAGGUCGCUGGUUCGAUUCCGGCAGGUCG
rnacentral:snRNA from 1 species